rnacentral:rRNA from 1 species
UACGAAGGGGGCUAGCGUUGUUCGGAAUUACUGGGCGUAAAGCGCACGUAGGCGGAUUGCUAAGUCGGGGGUGAAAUCCCGGGGCUCAACCCCGGAACUGCCUUCGAUACUGGCAAUCUCGAGUCCGGAAGAGGUGAGUGGAAUUCCGAGUGUAGAGGUGAAAUUCGUAGAUAUUCGGAAGAACACCAGUGGCGAAGGCGACUUACUGGACGAUUGUUGACGCUGAGGUGCGAAAGCGUGGGGAGCAAACAGG